rnacentral:rRNA from 1 species
GUGUCAGCCGCCGCGGUAAUACGGAGGGGGCUAGCGUUGUUCGGAAUUACUGGGCGUAAAGCGCGCGUAGGCGGCGAAUCAAGUCAGGCGUGAAAGCCCCGGGCUCAACCUGGGAACUGCGCUUGAUACUGAUUUGCUAGAGUCCGGGAGAGGAGAGUGGAAUUCCCAGUGUAGAGGUGAAAUUCGUAGAUAUUGGGAAGAACACCAGUGGCGAAGGCGGCUCUCUGGACCGGUACUGACGCUGAGGCGCGAAAGCGUGGGGAGCAAACAGGAUUAGAUACCCUGGUAGUCCACGCCGUAAACGAUGAGUGCUAGAUGUCGGGGGGCGCAGCCCUUCGGUGUCGAAGCUAACGCAUUAAGCACUCCGCCUGGGGAGUACGGCCGCAAGGCUAAAACUUAAAGGAAUUGGCGGGG